rnacentral:rRNA from 1 species
UCAGGACGAACGCUGGCGGCAUGCCUAAUACAUGCAAGUCGAGCGGGCACUGUAGGGUGCCAGCGGCGAACGGGUGAGUAACACGUAAGUAACCUACCCAUUGGACGAGGAUAACUACUGGAAACGGUAGCUAAUACUGGAUAGGUACUGCAACCGGAGGGGUGCAGUAUGAAAGGCCCAUGAAGGGCCGCCAAUGGAUGGGCUUGCGUCGCAUUAGCUAGUUGGUGAGGUAAGGGCUCACCAAGGCGAUGAUGCGUAGCCGACCUGAGAGGGUGACCGGCCACACUGGGACUGAGAGACGGCCCAGACUCCUACGGGAGGCAGCAGUAGGGAAUCUUCGGCAAUGGACGGAAGUCUGACCGAGCGAUGCCGCGUGAGCGAAGAAGGUCUUCGGAUCGUAAAGCUCUGUUAUGAGGGAAGAAGGACGUAGGCAGGCAAUGGCCUACGGGUGACGGUACCUCAUGAGGAAGCCACGGCUAACUACGUGCCAGCAGCCGCGGUAAUACGUAGGUGGCGAGCGUUGUCCGGAAUUAUUGGGCGUAAAGGGUGCGUAGGCGGUCCGUUAAGUCUAGUUUGAAAGACCACGGCUUAACCGUGGGAGGGGAUUAGAAACUGGCGGACUUGAGGGUAAGAGAGGAAGGUGGAAUUCCACGUGUNNNGGUGAAAUGCGUAGAGAUGUGGAGGAACACCAGUGGCGAAGGCGGCCUUCUGGCUUACCCCUGACGCUGAGGCACGAAAGCGUGGGGAGCAAACAGGAUUAAAUACCCUGGUAGUCCCACGCCGUUAAACGAUGAGUACUAAGUGUCGGUCGCAAGAUCGGUGCUGAAGUUAACGCAAUAAGUACUCCGCCUGGGAAGUACGGUCGCAAGACUGAAACUCAAAGGAAUUGACGGGGACCCGCACAAGCGGUGGAGCAUGUGGUUUAAUUCGAAGCAACGCGAAGAACCUUACCAGGCCUUGACAUCCCUCCGCCAUCGCUAGAGAUAGUGAGUUCCCUUUUGGGGACGGAGGAGACAGGUGGUGCAUGGUUGUCGUCAGCUCGUGUCGUGAGAUGUUGGGUUAAGUCCCGCAACGAGCGCAACCCUCGUCGUUAGUUGCCAGCAUUAAGUUGGGGACUCUAACGAGACUGCCAGUGACAAACUGGAGGAAGGUGGGGAUGACGUCAAAUCAUCAUGCCCCUUAUGGCCUGGGCUACACACGUGCUACAAUGGGUGGUACAAAGGGAGGCGAAGCCGCGAGGCGGAGCGAAACCCAAAAAGCCACUCUCAGUUCGGAUUGCAGGCUGCAACUCGCCUGCAUGAAGCCGGAAUCGCUAGUAAUCGCGAAUCAGCAUGUCGCGGUGAAUACGUUCCCGGGUCUUGUACACACCGCCCGUCACACCACGAGAGUCUGUAACACCCGAAGCCGGUGGCCUAACCGCAAGGAGGGAGCCGUCGAAGGUGGGACAGAUGAUUG